UACGGAGGGUGCGAGCGUUGUCCGGAAUCACUGGGCGUAAAGGGCGCGUAGGCGGCCUGAUAAGUAGGGGGGUGAAAUCCUGCGGCUUAACCGCAGGGCUGCCUUCUAAACUGUCAGGCUAGAGCACAGUAGAGGCAGGUGGAAUUCCCGGUGUAGCGGUGGAAUGCGUAGAGAUCGGGAAGAACAUCAGUGGCGAAGGCGGCGACCUGGGCCAAUAUUGACGCUGAGGUGCGAAAGCGUGGGGAGCAAACAGGAUUAGAGUACC
rnacentral:rRNA from 1 species